GAUUAAAAAUAUAAAAUGUUUUAAAGUAGAUUAAAAGGACGCGGUAUCUUGACCGUGAUAAUGUAGCAUAAUCAUUCGCCAUUUAAUUGAUGGAUAGUAUGAAUGGUAUAACGAAUAUAACACUGUCUUAAAUAAAAACCUUAUGAAAUUAGAAUAAUAGUAAAGAUACUAUUUAAAACUGUAAGACGAGAAGACCCUAUAGAGCUUAACUACAUCUCUUUUGAAAACAUAAGUUUACUUAUUAUAAAAAAGAGAUUGGUAGUUUAGUUGGGGCGACUACUUUCUAAAUAUAACGAAAGCAAGCAAUAUUAAUUUAAAAAUUUACUGUAUAACUUAUGGGUUUAACAGUUAUAAAAAUAGGCAAUAAUGACCCGUUAUUAAUUAGUAGAAAUUAUAACGAUUAGUAAAUAAAAGCUACCUUAGGGAUAACAGGAUAAUCUUGUUUUAGAGAUCAUAUCGAAUACAAGGUUUGUCACCUCUAUGUUGAAUUAAGACAUCCAGGAAAUGCAGAAGUUUCCAAUGGUAGGUCUGUUCGACCUAUAAAGUCUUACAUGAUUUGA
rnacentral:rRNA from 1 species